rnacentral:misc_RNA from 1 species
GUAGCCAGAAUGCACUAUGGCUUAGGCUAUAGUUACUUAAGCUUACUAUGCAAUGCUCAAAGUCUUCUGCAGUUACCUACAUUCUUACAUAACAAUCACUGUUUGAAGACCUUAUCCAGCUCUUCCUAAAUGUGUAUAUAUACACAUUCAUAGAUGUUUAUAUAUACACACCCAUAGAUGUGUAUAUAUACACAUCCAUGAGUGUAUAUGUUUAUAUAUUAUAUAUAUGUGUGUGUGUGUGUGUAAUUUAUAUAUGUGUGAAUGCAUCAGAGAGAAACAGAUGCAUAUAAUUUGGGGCCUAUUCAAGUCUUGUCACACAAAUGAUACUCGCAUUUCCACGCAUAGUGAAUAGAUUUGAUGAAAAUUAUCUGUGCCUGGUGGCAGCCGUGUGCUGUUUGCAAUUAUGUUAAAAGUCUAACAAACUUCCAAGUUUUUAAACAGUCAGUUGUGGUCUAGUGGGUAUAUUACUGGAUAUGUGAAGGUGAAUAGAGCACCUGGAGAUUUUAGUGUGUAACUUGGGAAGCUUGCAGGUAGUAGGUCAUGUGGGAUAGUUAGAUUUACGUAUUUUGACGAAGCCAUUUAGACGGGCAUGGAAGGAGAUGUGGUAGUAAGCAGGAUAAGAAUAUGCUUAUGAUUUCUUGAAAACUUUCUCAAGCUGCAAUUGAAAAUUUUGGGAAGUUGUGAUGAUAUUAAGAGGGUUUUGUGAUGUAAUUUUGUCUGGACUUAACUAGAAAUUAAAUGAUGAAGUGGUGAGAUGUGUUUUGGCACUUAAAUCUUUGCCGCUACUUUAAUGGGUGCCUGUGGUGUCUUCCUUAGGCCUUCCUCCUGGGAUCUCGGCUCUGCCGGGCCCUUCAAUGUCACAAGGUGCUGCUAGUCAAGAUGCCAGCCAAGGAGGGAUCAAAGUGCGCUUCAAUCGGCCUUACAGUUGUACAGUGUGUGACUUUAGCACGUUUUGCCGCCGCUCAUUCUCCAAACACCUCCUAGAGACACAUCCGGCCAUCAAAGUCUGUGACAUGAUCAAGAAAAAGAAGUCAUAAAGAGACAGUGAUUUUGUUUUUAUCAUUAUUAUUAGUUUUAAAAGGGGGAGGAAGAAUGGAAAGAGUGAAAGACAGUGUUCGCAAUAUGACAGUUCUUUAAAAGAAACUGCAUUUAUCCAGCGUUGGUUGCUAAUGCUAUUUAUUUAUUGGACACUUACCGGUGCAAAUGUGAAUAGCAUAUUGAGCUAUGGAAGAACAAGUGCCCACGUAAACACUUCGUGAUGUUCUCGAUAGGAGUAUUUAUCUCCAAUGGUGCUUUAUAACUUGACAAUUUGCAAUCUAAUUUCCUAGUCAGAAAUGACAUUUACGGAUAUUUAUCCUGUAAUGUAAUUGUACACGCAAUAAUUCCCUUUGUACUGUAUAAGUGUUAUGUUACAGUCCUGUAAAAUUUGUCAAUUAAAUGGAUGAAGCCA